rnacentral:SRP_RNA from 1 species
CGGCGGGUCUUAGGCGAGGGGGUAGGGGUCCCCUGUACCGUAAACCCUCUAUAUGACGGGCUGACAGCUAAGACUGAGGCGCAAAAGGUCGUUUGGACCCUCGUUUCCGAAACAGUGACUAUCCGUCCUUUGAGGCUGGCGGUCUCUGAGCGGUUUCCGUAGGGAAACUGUUUUCGGGGUUUAGCAGGCGAAUCUGGCUAGGCUCGGGAGAGAGCAACCUAAGUUUGGACGUUUAGCGCACAAAGGAUUGCGGGUAAGAGCGUAGGUCUAGAGGUGCCUUGCGAAGUCUGUGUGUCGAAUCUUUGUGGCCCGCCG